GCGGGAGUAGCUCAGCUGGCAGAGCGCCUCCCUUCCAAGGAGGAUGUCGCGGGUUCGAAUCCCGUCUCCCGCUCUA
rnacentral:tRNA from 1 species